rnacentral:rRNA from 1 species
GAUGAACGCUGGCGGCGUGCCUAAUACAUGCAAGUCGAACGAAACUUCUUUAUCACCGAGUGCUUGCGCUCACCGAUAAAGAGUUGAGUGGCGAACGGGUGAGUAACACGUGGGCAACCUGCCCAAAGGAGGGGGAUAACACUUGGAAACAGGUGCUAAUACCGCAUAACCAUAGUUACCGCAUGGUAACUAUGUAAAAGGUGGCUAUACUACCGCUUUUGGAUGGGCCCGCGGCGCAUUAGCUAGUUGGUAGGGUAAAGGCUUACCAAGGCAAUGAUGCGUAGCCGAAUUGAGAGGUUGAUCGGCCACAUUGGGACUGAGACACGGCCCAAACUCCUACGGGAGGCAGCAGUAGGGAAUCUUCCACAAUGGGCGAAAGCCUGAUGGAGCAACGCCGCGUGGGUGAAGAAGGUCUUCGGAUCGUAAAACCCUGUUGUUAGAGAAGAAAGUGCGUGAGAGUAACUGUUCACGUUUCGACGGUAUCUAACCAGAAAGCCACGGCUAACUACGUG